rnacentral:misc_RNA from 1 species
GCGUUGGCCCGUCUGCCGAAAGAGACCUAUAUUUUGCAAAGAGGAUUCCACGAGAAGCCAAUGCCGCAAUGGAGCCCUUCAUCAUAAAUGAGGCCAUGAACGGUCACGGACGCAUGGAUGUAAUUAAUUAAUUAAUUAAUUAAUUAAUUAAUUAAUUUUAGUUGCACGCUACCAUAAUUGGGUCCUGUUUGGUUCCAUGGGCUAAUGUUU